GAAGAGUCAGGAGGUCAGGUGGUUUGUAUAAGGUCACCGAACAGGUGAGUCUCAGAUUCGGGACUAAGAUCCACCCCGCCCUAGUCCCCGUCCCCUCUGGCUUCACAUCCUUUGCUGUUUCCAGGAGCCAGGCACCUUCCUGGGUGUCAGGAACACAGCCGUGAACAAGAUCAACAAAAUCUCGGCUUUUGUGGACAUCCUAGUGGGGGAAUGUGGAUGAACAAAUGAGUCACAACGGUCACUCUGGAAGUUUCCCUUACAACAUAAAUUUCCGACGAAAUCCAAGAAAGCAGUGGACCAGAUGAAGAGACUGAGGCUCAGAGAGGCUGAGUGACCCGAGUUUGCAGGUGACCAGCGACAUCCCUUGAGCUCAGACUAGACUCAGUUGCCUCUCUUGU